AAGCCAACAGAAUUGGAGGAAAGGGAGAGGAGCUCUCAAACCCUAACCCUUUGAUCCACCAUAACUCCUUCGUCUGGGCUCCAAUCGCCGCACCGUUCACGGCCACGCGCUCAGCGCGUCGAGCUCUACCUUUCUAUCCAAACAAUUUCACUGAUUCAAGUUAGCUUCCAGAACUUGUGGGCUCAAGCUAUUGAGCAUAUGGGUAUGGUGUAGGUUAAGUGGGUGUUUAUGCAUUGGAAUUGAAUUGGGAUUACUUGGAGGUUUAUUGGUGAUCAAGGCUUGUUUUGGGGCUG